AACGACUCUCGGCAACGGAUAUCUCGGCUCUCGCAUCGAUGAAGAACGCACCGAAAUGCGAUACUUGGUGUGAAUUGCAGAAUCCCGUGAACCAUCGAGUUUUUGAACGCAAGUUGCGCCCGAAGCUUCGGCUGAGGGCACGUCUGCCUGGGCGUCACGC
rnacentral:rRNA from 1 species